AUGAAAGCAAUGAAGAGGACAUGAAUGACUCUAUUCGGUUUCCAGAGAAGGAAGAACUGCUGAGAACUUCCUAACGCAGGAGAGUCAUUUACCACCUUUGAGCUAUACUGGGGAAUUCAAAAACCAGUAUCGUAUAGCUACGUUACAGCUUCAAUGAGUCAUCCAAGUACGGAUGAAAAAUUGGGUGGAACCACGAGUAUAACACGCACUCGUCCCUUUC
rnacentral:ncRNA from 1 species